AAUGGAAAUGCUGGUUCAUGUGGUAACUCUGUUUACCAUUUUGAGGAACUGCCAGACUGUUUCCCAAAGCAGCUGCACCAUUUGC
rnacentral:miRNA from 1 species